rnacentral:misc_RNA from 1 species
GAUGAAGAACGUAGUGAAAUGCGAUAAGUAAUGUGAAUUGCAGAAUUCAGUGAAUCAUCGAAUCUUUGAACGCACAUUGCGCCCGCCAGUAUUCUGGCGAGCAUGCCUGUUCGAGCGUCAUUUCAACCAUCAAGCCCCAGGCUUGUGUUGGAGCCCUGCGGCUGCCGCAGCCUCCCAAAACCAGUGGCGGGCUCGCUAUCACACCGAGUGCAGUAGUUUACUCUUCGCUCAGGGCGUGUGGCGGGUGCUAGCCGUGAAACCCCCAACUUCUCAAGGUUGACCUCGGAUCAGGUAGGAAUACCCGCUGAACUUAAGCAUAUCAAUAAGCGGAGGA